AAUUCGCCCUUAGAGUUUGAUCCUGGCUCAGGAUGAACGCUGGCGGCGUGCUUAACACAUGCAAGACGAACGAUGAUCCGGUGCUUGCACCGGUGAUUAGUGGCGAACGGGUGAGUAACACGUGAGUAACCUGCCCUUGACUCUGGGAUAAGCCUGGGAAACUGGGUCUAAUACCGGAUAUGACCUUCCAUCGCAUGGUGGUUGGUGGAAAGCUUUUGUGGUUUUGGAUGGACUCGCGGCCUAUCAGCUUGUUGGUGAGGUAAUGGCUUACCAAGGCGACGACGGGUAGCCGGCCUGAGAGGGUGACCGGCCACACUGGGACUGAGACACGGCCCAGACUCCUACGGGAGGCAGCAGUGGGGAAUAUUGCACAAUGGGCGCAAGCCUGAUGCAGCGACGCCGCGUGAGGGAUGACGGCCUUCGGGUUGUAAACCUCUUUCAGUAGGGAAGAAGCGAAAGUGACGGUACCUGCAGAAGAAGCGCCGGCUAACUACGUGCCAGCAGCCGCGGUAAUACGUAGGGCGCAAGCGCUAUCCGGAAUUAUUGGGCGUAAAGAGCUCGUAGGCGGUUUGUCGCGUCUGCCGUGAAAGUCCGGGGCCCAACUCCGGAUCUGCGGUGGGUACGGGCAGACUAGAGUGAUGUAGGGGAGACUGGAAUU
rnacentral:rRNA from 1 species